rnacentral:rRNA from 1 species
CUGGCGGCAGGCCUAACACAUGCAAGUCGAACGGUAACAGGAAGAAGCUUGCUUCUUUGCUGACGAGUGGCGGACGGGUGAGUAAUGUCUGGGAAACUGCCUGAUGGAGGGGGAUAACUACUGGAAACGGUAGCUAAUACCGCAUAACGUCGCAAGACCAAAGAGGGGGACCUUCGGGCCUCUUGCCAUCGGAUGUGCCCAGAUGGGAUUAGCUAGUAGGUGGGGUAACGGCUCACCUAGGCGACGAUCCCUAGCUGGUCUGAGAGGAUGACCAGCCACACUGGAACUGA